ACCAAACAGCUAGCUCAACCAUCUAAGUAAAAAAUACGACAUAUAUUACUUAACAAAACCACAUUAUAAAAAUUAAACCAUUUAACCACCCCAGUACGGGCGACAGAAAAGGACAAAUGAAGCAUUAGAAAAA
rnacentral:rRNA from 1 species